GGAAAUAGCCGGGAUAGCUCAGUUGGUAGAGCAGAG
rnacentral:tRNA from 6 species